CCUACGGGAGGCAGCAGUGGGGAAUAUUGCACAAUGGGCGCAAGCCUGAUGCAGCCAUGCCGCGUGUGUGAAGAAGGCCUUCGGGUUGUAAAGCACCUUCAGCGGGGAGGAAGGCGUUAAGGUUAAUAACCUUGGCGAUUGACGUUACCCGCGGAAGAAGCACCGGCUAACUCCGUGCCAGCAGCCGCGGUAAUACGGAGGGUGCAAGCGUUAAUCGGAAUUACUGGGCGUAAAGCGCACGCAGGCGGUCUGUCAAGUCGGAUGUGAAAUCCCCGGGCUCAACCGGGGAACUGCAUUCGAAACUGGCAGGCUAGAGUCUUGUAGAGGGGGGUAGAAUUCCAGGUGUAGCGGUGAAAUGCGUAGAGAUCUGGAGGAAUACCGGUGGCGAAGGCGGCCCCCUGGACAAAGACUGACGCUCAGGUGCGAAAGCGUGGGGAGCAAACAGGAUUAGAUACCCUAGUAGUC
rnacentral:rRNA from 1 species